rnacentral:rRNA from 1 species
UACGAAGGGGGCUAGCGUUGCUCGGAAUCACUGGGCGUAAAGCGCACGUAGGCGGAUUGUUAAGUCAGGGGUGAAAUCCUGGAGCUCAACUCCAGAACUGCCUUUGAUACUGGCGAUCUCGAGUCCGGGAGAGGUGAGUGGAACUGCGAGUGUAGAGGUGAAAUUCGUAGAUAUUCGCAAGAACACCUAUGGCGAAGGCAGCUCUCUGGGACGGUACUGACGCUGAGACGCGAAAGCGUGGGGAGCGAACAGG